UUGACCUCGAAUCAGGUAGGGAUACCCGCUGAACUUAAGCAUAUCAUAAA
rnacentral:rRNA from 1 species